rfam:Ciona savignyi cont_35809, whole genome shotgun sequence.
GUCGUCGUGGCCGAGUGGUUAAGGCGACAGACUUGAAAUCUGUUAGGCUCUGCCCGCACAGGUUCGAAUCCUGUCGGCGACG